rnacentral:rRNA from 1 species
CCCAGACUCCUACGGGAGGCAGCAGUGGGGGAUAUUGCACAAUGGGGGAAACCCUGAUGCAGCGACGCCGCGUGGGCGAAGAAGUAUUUCGGUAUGUAAAGCCCUAUCGGCAGGGAAGAAGAAAUGACGGUACCUGAAUAAGAAGCACCGGCUAAAUACGUGCCAGCAGCCGCGGUAAUACGUAGGGGGCAAGCGUUAUCCGGAUUUACUGGGUGUAAAGGGGGCGCAGACGGCAGCGCAAGCCAGGAGUGAAAGCCCGGGGCCCAACCCCGGGACUGCUCUUGGAACUGCGCGGCUGGAGUGCAGGAGGGGCAGGCGGAAUUCCUGGUGUAGCGGUGAAAUGCGUAGAUAUCAGGAGGAACACCGGUGGCGAAGGCGGCCUGCUGGACUGCGACUGACGUUGAGGCCCGAAAGCGUGGGGAGCAAACAGGAUUAGAUACCCCUGUA